GGAUCAUUACUGAAUUCGCGGCCUUCGGGCCCGUCUUUCAACCCCAUGUGUAUCUUCUCCACGUUGCUUCGGCGGGCCAGCCUUCUGGGCGGUCGUCGAACGUAUUCCCUCCGGGGUGCGUUCGGGCCUGUGCCCGCCGAAGACCCUUCUAAACUCUGAUUAUAAUUGUCGUCUGAGUCUUUAAAAAAUUAAACAAAACUUUCAACAACGGAUCUCUUGGUUCUGGCAUCGAUGAAGAACGCAGCGAAACGCGAUAGGUAUUGUGAAUUGCAGAAUUUAGUGAAUCAUCGAAUCUUUGAACGCACAUUGCGCCCUUUGGUAUUCCGAAGGGCAUGCCUGUCCGAGCGUCAUUUCAACCCUCCAGCCCGGCUGGUGUGUUGGGCCUCGUCCCCCCGGGGACGGGCUCCAAAGACAGGGACGGCGCCGCGUCCAGCCCCCGAGCGUAUGGGACUUCGUCACUGCUCGUUAGGGAUGGCCGGCCCGGUCCAACCCCCCAUCUAUUUUUACCUC
rnacentral:rRNA from 1 species